UUCGCUUACUUUAUACUGUAACUUGCGCAUUUGUUCUUAUCAGCUUAAUAUCUCAUACGGGUCCUAUUUGGACCCAAGAUAUUAAACUUAUUUUUGGAAAGGGGCGGUGUGCUUGAAGUUGCUUCACCUCCACCACAGGUUGGUAUUGCACUUGCAUGCUCUGCUUUAAUGAUACGCUCUAC